AGUUGCGGUGGCGCGCUCGUGGCGGGGACGCCGGCACCCGGCUGCUCACCCGGGACGGCCGUCACACCGGCACUACGGGAAGAAGCCGGCCGGCUAGGGCACGGAGCUCUGGGCUUGCGGGGUGCGGCGCACGCCCCUCCCUCCCACCGCCUAAGGUUUUUCCGAAGCUGCUGGGCGUGCGCCGCGUUUCUGAGGCGGGAGGAGACACUUCCGAGCCAGCUGUGUGACAUCCGUUUACACAGCCGCGCUGACGUCUCGAGGUGAUUCUUAAUUCUGCCAACAACCACAUGAGUUUGGAAGAAUACCCAGAACUACAGAAGGGAGCACAGCUUGGCUGACACCUUGAUUUCAGCCUGGUGAGAACCUGAGCAGAGAACCCAGCUGAGCCCAUGCCAGGACUUCUGACUUACAGAACUACGAGAUAAUAAAUAUGUUAUUUUAAGUCACUUCAUUUCUGGUAAUUCGUUUUUGCAUCAAAUGCAAAUGUUUUUGCAUGGAAUAAAGUGUGUAUUCAAAUACAGUCAUAUGGAUACCAAAACUUGAUGUAGUUUUAAUAGCAGAAACCAAAUGAUCAAUUAUCCAUAACUUCAAAGAUUAAUUCAACCUCAUGAAAAGAAACAACUAAUCAGAAGUUAAUACCUGCACAGACUAUUUGUUGUUCUCCCACUUUUGCAUAAAUUAGAUAAUUGAGACAAAGAUAUGGGCUUAUUUCUUUUGCUUAAGACUCACAUAUUUAUCUUUUCCUUAGAUGGAAUUAGUGUAACACAAAGAUGUUCCACUAUUUAUAUUCCUUCAAUUCUGUGUGUGUCUAUAUUCUAUAAUUAGUAUUUUCUCAUUUUCAACUGACAGAAAUAGUGCUUAUAGAAAAAAGAAUUAAAUUACAUGUGUCUCCCUAACAUUAAAUGUUUUUUCUCCUAAAUUUAUUUUUUUUUCCUUUUUUUUUUCUUUUUUUUGAGAUGGAGUCUCACUCCAUCACCCAGCCUGGAGUGCAGUGGUGCUAUCUCAGCUCACUGAAACCUCCGCCUCCCAGGUUCAAGCAAUUCUCCUGCCUCAGCCUCC
rnacentral:lncRNA from 10 species